rnacentral:lncRNA from 1 species
CCUUGGGGGACACUUGGUCCAAUAGCUUCAUUUUGUAGGUGGUAAAACCAAAUCCCACAGACACAGAAUUAUUCCUGGUCACACCGAGCUCUGUCCUUACGAACUGCACUUUGAGUUAAACCAUAACAACUAGAUUUGUGGGUCUUUACAGUUGAUUUACAUUUACUGCUGCAAGUGAUUUCUCAGCCCUGCUCUGAACAAACACAGAUGAGAGAUAGACCAGAGGCAGCAGCCUGCCCUCUUCCCUGCCGUGUGGCCGGAGGACUGUCCCUGGAGUCACUCACUGCCAAGGGCUAGGGCAGGAUCUGAUUCCAGACACUUACCAGCGGGUCACAAAAGCCAAGGCACCAUCAGCUCUUCUGACUCCCCGGGGACCGGCGCCAAGUCUCCAGGUGCCCGGAGCUGGCAGGUGGAUGCUUUGUCAAAUGUCGGGCCCCAUGUUCAGAGCGGAGGGUGGGGAGGGAAGGGAGAGUGAAGGCAGCUACAGCUGGUCUUUCUCCAGAUGGAGAAAGUAUGCAGGGUGCUUAUGUCCUGGUUAUCUAACAAGUCUUUUCUCUGAAGUGGCCUCCAGCCUGGGAGCAGUGGCGACCCGGCAGCUCUCCCAUUAGGGGGCGGACUUCAGAGGGGGCUCUCUGCAGGCCCCACCCUCUCCACGCCCCGCCUGCCACUAUUCCUUGGGAGCUGCCAGGAACAGGAAGGGUGGGACCUUAGUCUUCACUUCAAAGACUGUCUGGCUUCCCCGUGAUGCUCGUGCUUUGCUAAGCAUUGGUGGCCAUCAAAGUUUUUGCAUCCUGGGGACGAAUCCUGAACUCACCAGAGACGGGCGGCGCAAGGUCCGGGCUCUGUUUCCCUGCGAGAAGCCGCCUCGGCCCACCGAGAUGUCCCGGCACCACAGCCGCUUCGAGAGAGAUUACCGGGUCGGCUGGGACCGCCGUGAGUGGAGCGUCAACGGCACCCAUGGCACCGCCAGCGCCUGCAGCGUCACCUCGGGAGCCGGGGGCGGCACCGCC